AUGAAAGGAGUGAUGUGGUACAAGAUCAAAUGGAAACUGCAGCUGGAUUAGAUGUACUGAGUUUGCAGGGAUCGAUGGAUGUGGAAACAUUGUAUUCAACUCUUGUUGAUUCAGCAUUAAAGUGUGCAACAAAUAUAGACAAGAUGGGAGUCGACAAAAAUGAAGGAAGUGGUGAAAGUCCAAUUGAAAUUGCAGUAGCUGCUGAAACUGAACCUCCUUCCCCUACAGUUUGGGAUGACGUACCACAGGAAUGUUAAAAAGGCAACAGCUGAUGAACCUCAUUGUUCAUCGCCAGCAGUUGGGAUGAGAUUGGGUUCGACAAGCAGGACGAAGGUCAAACAACCCGAUAAGGAAGAGGUAAUUAUGUAGGGCAUGCAUUACAAUCAAUGUGAUUUUUUUUCCUCCAAAGCACCACCUAUGCAUUCUCAAAAAAAAAAAAAAUGCACGUAUGAACUGAAAUUAGACUACUAGUCUACUACUACAUUUUUUUUUUUAUCUUUUUAAAAUUAACUUGGCCAGGUUUUUACUCAAGAUUGUAAUAUUAUAUAUUCUAGUGACAUAAAUCUCUGUUUUGCAAGACAUCAUAUGAUAUGUUCGGUUCUUGUAUGUCUUAUGUUCGGUUCUUGUAAAUUGUUAGUCAAUUAUUAUAUAACAAAAGAAAAAAGACGAAUUCGAACCUGGCCAAAAUAUAAAAAAGUAUGGUUAGAAUAACUAAUACNNNNNNNNNNNNNNNNNNNNAAUCCUAAUUGCUGAGUCCGAAUGGAUUUGUGAUUAGGUCUCUGCGAAUUGCUUACGGAUCGCUAUAUAAGAGAGUUCGAGGAUCUGGUUGACGGACAAUCAAUCAUACAAAAACAACUGCAAAUCUUCAAGCAUCCUUGAAACCCUAAGUUCUAAGUGCACCUCGCCUUAGAUCUCAGAUCCCGUCUGGACUCGCUUCUCUUUCCCAAUUGUUGCUCUGCUCGCUUCAAACAGUGAGUAUCGAUUCACAGGUGACUAGAUAGUUUGCUCGUAAUUCCUCGCCCGCGAGGUGACACCGGAGCUCUACUUCGCCUGAUUAGAAGUCAAGAACGCGCACCGUUCUCGUUCCGCGUCCGCGCGGUGGCACGCCCUGCAAACCCUAAUUUACUUUUUGGUAGCACAAGUUACCUCUCUACCCCUGCUGAGGAUCGUGGCCAAAACACUUCCUCUGAAGUCUAAAAGAUCUAUAUGGCUCAGUGCUUUGCUAUUCCACUUUGAACGUACUCUUGAUCUCUCUCGAUCAUUUAAUUUAUUUAGUUUAUAUCUUGAUACAUUAUAUAUGCAGAAACACAGUGAGGAAACAGAAAUGAUCAUGCAAGUGCCUUUUCCGUACGAAUGCAUUGACAACAUCAUCUCACUGACCACUCCUGCAGAUGCCUGCAGACUGUCAUUGGUCUCUACGCGUUUCAAGUUCGCUGCAGAAUCCAAUCAAGUUUGGGAAAAAUUCCUUCCCAGUCCGCAUCUUAUCCAUGCGAUCGAAUCCCAGUCCACGUCUUCAUCAACAUUUGUGCCUGCCAAGUCCAAGAAGGAGUUUUACCUUGCGCUGUGCGAUAACUCAGUCCUCAUGGAUAAUGGGAAGAUGAGCUUUUCAAUGGACAAAUGGAGUGGGAAAAAAUGUUACAUGAUAUGUGCAAGGGAACUUAAUAUUGUUUGGGCACAAGAUAAAUCUAGAUAUUGGAGUUGGAUAUCUCUGGCUGAGUCCAGGUUUAAGGAGGUGGCUUCUCUAGACGAGGUUUGUUGGCUCGAAAUACGUGGGAAAAUCGAUAUGAGUAUUCUGUCUCCAUGGACUCUCUACAAAGCUUAUCUUGUGUACAAGUUAACAGAAGACGCAUAUGGAUUCGACGUGCCUGUGGAGGUCGCAAUUGCUGAAAGGCAUUAUGGAUUUGAAUACGGACCUCUGGAUGCCGCACUUGGUGGAGAUGAAAAUAAGCAGACAGUGUAUCUCGAUCCAAGUCUGGAAAUUAUGGAUGGAGCUCGACGUCCAAAUGAAAGAGCGGACGGCUGGUUGGAGAUGGAGCUGGGUGAGUUUCUAUGCCAAGCAGAAGAAGAUGGAGAGUUGGAAAUGAUGUGCGCGGAGUAUAAAAAUCUGUGUUGGAAGAGUGGUCUUAUUGUGCAGGGAAUCGAGGUCAGGCCAGAAAGGAAGGAAUACUCCAAGGCCAAAGGCAAGGCAGGAUAUUUCAGAGCCAAAGGCAAAAAGCCUGUUUUCUAGGUUCUGACCUCCAAUCAAUGAGUAAGUUGUAAGAUGAUUAGAGUCAUGAUUAUGAGCUGAUUAAGAGUAAUCGUCACCAGUGAAUGAAAUACAACUGUCAGCAUGUUGUUGUCUAUCAAUGCUGAUGUGGAUAUUUUCCAUUUUCAGUGAUGCAAUAAUUGUUUUUUCAUUUAAAAUAAAAUAACUUUGUUUUUCUAGCUUUUCUCUGUAUAAAUACUUUGUUGGCAGUACGUUUUGCUGCAUGAAGAAAUCUAAAAGAAAAUUGCUCCAGGUUCUUCUUUCUUCUUCACUGUUCUUCAUUUCCUAGCUAACUCUAGUUUGAAUAUUUCAUUAUGGAUGCCAUGUUCUCAUAAUUAAGUUUCCACUAUAGUUAAGCUAGCUUGAUGGAAAUAAUAAUUACUCCAUUAUAAUGGAUUCAUAAUUAACGACUCGAGAGUUUAUAGUGUAACAGUCCAGUGUUUAUGUUUGUGUCUAUGGCAAUGGCAUUAGAAGGGAAGUUCAAGAAUUAUUUCAUUUAUUUGUUAAGAGUUGUGUAAUAAACUUCCCUGCUAAGGUACUAUAAAUUUUUCAGUAAGAGCUGUGUGUACAGUACAUGUCCUUUAGGUUGUUAUAUAUCUAUAAAAGUAUGAAAGUGAGGCUACUAUAAAAGUAUGGAAGAGCAGAAAGGUGACUCUAAUUAGUAAUUACAAUAUUGUAGUAUUGUACAUCUUACGCUAGCUAGCAUGUCAUGGAUUUCUAAUGCCUAUACUCCAUUGGAUUGAUCUUGUUGAAGUGACAGAAUUCAUAUCAGUUUACCGAACAGAAAAUGUGUAAGUUUAUGGCAAUCAUAUGAAUUCAACCUGAAAGCAAAGAAUAAUCUGAGAAAAAUAUUGUUUCCUAGCUCAACCAGGAGAAGGCUUGCUCAACUGGUUUUUGACUGCAGUGUUUUUCUGCAGUAACUCUGAUCUCGAUCUAUGAGGUAAAUGCAUAUCAUGUUUUUAUAACUGAUUGUGAAAAGAUUGAGUUUGUGUUUGGUAUAGAUCUAUCUAAAAUAUCUUUGAGAUAAUUUAGGAAGAUAUAUGCAUAUCUGUUAGGAAAAUAUUUGAAAUGCAUAUUUGUUAUAACUAUUUGAUUCAUGUUUCCUUGUAUACCUCAAUUAGGAAUCAAAGGUGAUUCAGUUGAGGGGGAGUCCUUCCCCUGUAUAUAUGAUUGAGUUGUUCCUUGGAAACGCAGAGUUUUUUUAUAUUUUAUAAACACUUUGUGGUCUUACUGCAGCACUGCUGCAUAUUUUGUUUUGAUAAAAAACUCUCAUUCUUUUGUUAUUGCUUCAUUGCAUCUGUCAUUUCAUUGUGAUCGAGAUUAGUGUAUUGGCUAACAAGGUGUGCUCAGUUCAUCUGUUCAAGGCUGGAUCCAUUACUUGUAGAAUAGGAAGAUCAGUUGUAAAAGAUCAAGCUAGUUUGUAUGCUAGUAAACGUGAAUGUAUUGUACUUUACUGUUUGAUAGAAACUGUAAUUCUAUUUGCUAUUAAUGGAUUGUUUUAAGUGUGGAUUACUAUAAAGUCUUGCAGUGAGGUUUCCUUGUGGAAGGUUUACACUGUAGUUAAAAUCUGGUGUUCUUGUUGUUCUUGUUAUUCUUGCAAACUAUAUUAUUUUUGAAAACAGGAAAAACCAGUAAAUAGGUCAUAAACAUACUUUCAAAAUGUCUUCUGUGUAAUAUUGCUCACGAUAAAUCCAUCAUUCACCGACGACUAUGAUAAGAAGCAGACUUCUUUAUUUGUGUUCAUUGUGAAGGAUUUUAAGACUUUGACAUGCUUAAAAUCCAGCAGUUGAUUUUAUACCUGAAAAUUUAUAAAUAAUAUCCUCUUUGUGUUAGUAUAAUGUUGCAAUGCAAUCAGAAAACCACCUAGUACACCCAGAAAUUUUCGAUCUAAUAAUGCGUGUAUCAGGGAUAUAGCUUAAACAGUCCACCGGAGGAUGCAAUCUCAUUACGGGUAUAAGUUUUCUCAAUGGUUUAAUAAUAUAAUCGGACAUUUUCCCCAUAGCACAUUCUUCUACGUACAAUUUCUCAGUACCCCCGGUCUUUUCCUUUCUAUUGUGGCUUUCAGCUUCAGGGAUCACCUCGACCAUAGCAACGGUGAAUUAUUGAGCAACCACGUCUGUAAGGGAUAAAGGAAUGUCCAUCAGGAAAACAAUUGGGGAGUAGUCUUCCAAAAGGGCAUCUGCAAGGGUCAGGGAGUCCGAUGAGAAUCCUUCUAAGCAGGCCGGCCUUGAGAUUUUCGGGGCUCUAGGCGAACCAAAAACUUAAAGCUCUUAAUUUUUUUGAGAUUUUUAUUGUGAAAGCUUAACUUCUGUCUUCUACAUAUUUAUUUUUUUCUUUUUUCCUCUUCACCACUCCUCUCUAUGCAAAGCAGCUAAUUUAAAAAAUAAAAACAAAAUAAAACUAGAUAAACAUGUGCAAAACAAUUUUUAAUUUAUAACUCAAGAUUUAGAUCAAGUUUAUGAAAGAACGAAUGAAAGCCAAAAUCAGAUUUCAUCCAUAAAGACACCAAACUAGAAAAACACAAGCAUCAGUGAUCACAGAAAAAAGACCCAGCCAUCCAUGAGGAAGACAUAAUUUCUAAACAAAGCAAUUUUAGAAAGAAAAGAAAAAACAAAUCAUGAUGAACCAAAGACAUGAUUUUAGGAAUAUAUAUUUACCAAAUUUGCAUAAAUAUAAAUAGAUCCAUAUUAAGACAUACGAGAGCCUUCUAGCCAAAAAGAAAUUAAAUCCAUCGUUGUCACUUUUAGGAAAAAAAAAUUAAACAAAUCUUAUUGAGUCAGUGCCAUAAGUCUUGGAAAAGAAACAAAAACUGGUAAGCAAUGUCAGAGCACGACAGUACUUAAUGAGUCUUAAGAAAAUUGUUUUAAACUUAACAAAUAGGAGACGUCUAAACUUUGGGGCUCAUGGGUUUGGGGGCUCUAGGCUUAGGCCUUCUGGGCCUAUGCUCAGGGCCGGCCCUGAGAAACUCCCUGGUCCAGCGCCACCAUGCUAACUAGUAGUAGGCAGAAGAUUAAUGACUUCAUAUUUGAGGAUGCCAUAUAUGAUCUGAGGCUUAAAUGAUGUUAGGCUUCAAAUAUAGUAGUACGUAAUUGUAUCUUGUUCAAUAUUUGCAUGAGAGAUUGGCCUUUUAUAUGAACUUUGGCUGCCGUAUUACGUUUGCACUGUGGGGUUUGGAAGACUUGAGUUUGUUUCUGCUGUUUUCAUUUGCAGUUUGGUAACUAUUUGGCAGUUAUCCUAUAGCAUUUGCUUUUUUUUUUUCCUAUCUGACCGCUAGUUCAUGACGAGAUUUUAUUUUUAUGUUCCUGUAAGCAGUUUUGGUAACUAUUUGGCAGUUAUAGCACACAGACUGAUUGCUGAUUUUCCUAUUUUAGGCUUCGAUGUUCUUAGUAAAACAGAAGAUCGAGUAUACAAAGUAUGCAGGGAAAAAGGGGUGUGAUCAAGGAAAGAUGGGACUCGGAAGACGUGCAGGAUGUCAAGCAAAGUAAAAGGGAAGGCGUCUUUGAAUAUCAGGUUGCUGGUGAAUAUGAACUUCCAUCAUUUCCCCAGAUGGACUUGCACUGGAACUUGAAGAUCAGUCUGAUGCAUACAGCGAUGCAUCAAUGGGGGCAGUACAGAUUAAUCAUGAAGCUGAAUUGAAUAUGCAUGUGAACAACUUGAAGAGGAAGCUUUUGUAUGAUGGUCACUCGGCCCUUGUGCUGACUGUUGAGAUAUGAAUCCCAUAUCGGGAAUAUGAGACCUUACAUGUGGGUUUAUAAGGGUUUGAGUCACUCCAUCCGAUCCAUUGCCAAUUGGUUUUGGAUGUGAACCCCAAACUACUUUAUUAUGGAAUUAGAGCGGGUUACCCACAUUCACGUGUGAAGCCCAAAGACCACACGCACUCCUCGUCACUCACAUGUUGUCCACGUGUUAGACUUGAAAAUUCGCUACACGUGCGGGGGCGUGUUGAGAUAUGAAUCCCACAUCGGGAAUAUGAGAUAUUGCAUGUGGGUUUAUAAGGGUUUGGGCCACUCCAUCCAUUGUUAAUUGGUUUUGGAUGUGAACCCCAAACUACUUUAUUACUGACAGGUCCUGAACGAUGUGGGAAAACUAGACUGGUUUCAAGAUGAGGAAGUGAAAGAUGAAUUUAAGAACAACAACUUCUGCGUCCCUGUUUCACAGAAUCCAAGUUUGGACCUUAUUGUUCAACAACUAUAUCCAGAGGGCUGCUGGGAGAUUGCAAGCAUUUGCGAAGCAUGUAGGACAUCGUCAUUCUCUGUCGGUACUAGAUGAUGUCUGGCCUGGAUCUGAAUCCCUUCUUGAUGAGUUUGAUGAAUUCAAAAGUCAAAUUUCCAAGAUUCUGGUGACAUUAAGAUUCGAAUUUCCAAGAUUUGGUUCCUCAUCGGCGACGAUUCGCUGCCGAGAGAGAGAGAGAGAGAGAGAGAGAGAGAGAGAGAGAGAGAGAGAGAGAGAGAGAGAGAGAGAGAGAGAGAGAGAGAGAGUAGUAGUAGUAGUAGUAGUAGUAGUAGUAGUAGUAGUAGUAGUGUAGUANNNNNNNNNNNNNNNNNNNNGAGAGAGGAGAGAGGAGAGAGAGAAAGAGAAGAGAGAAAGUUGAAUUUUGAUAUGUCAAAAAAUGAGGUGGUGUUAUUAUUAAAAAGGGUGAAAAUUUUUAUUAAGAAUCAUUGAUAUGAGCCAUGAAAUUUUUUUCUUCAUUGGAUUGGACAUUAUUUUAGCUGUUUUUGGAUAUUUGGGCAUUUUCCCAAAGCUUAACUGUGAAGGCUGGCCACCUAUUUCUUUAACUCUUCGCUAUUACACAAGAGACCAUCAUUUUAACAGUUGACCAACUCUUCACCACCCAUUCCUCGUUCCAGCUGGGUCCUCUACUUAGAAGCAAAGCAAGGUGCGCUAUUUAAAACGACAGCAAGGCCAUUACACUUCGAUACAAAACUGUAAGCUAAUCAAUCAUGGCGGACAAGCUAAUCGGGAAACAUCUGUACAAGCAGCUCCUUGAUGGUGUUAAGGAAGCAUUAGGCAGCAGUACAAAGUUUAUGUCCCUCCUUGAAGAUCUCAGACUGACGCUGGUCUCUCUACAACCACGAAUCGCUCAACAUGAGCCGGAAAUGUAUCUCCUGCCAAAUGAGGAGACCCGAAAUCUCGAGCGGCAAAUGGAGGAGGGAGUGAAGCUAGUUCGCCGGCUAUCGAGUCUUGGCAUGUGGAACUAUCACUGCAUGAGGCGAAGCUACUCCGACCAACUUGCCGAAUUGUUCAGGUCUCUUAGAAGAGUGUUGUACAUUCUAAAGCUGCAGGAAGAGAGACAUACAAAUGAGAUCUUGUUUGUUGCAAGGAACAUUCGCGACAGACAAAAUGACCUGGAAAGAAGGUUAUGUGGUUUACUAAAAGUGACGCUGGAGGAGCAGAACGAAGGCAAUGGUCAGGUGAAAAAUGGAGGAGGGGCUGGUCAGGAUCUGGAGCAAGUGUUUUGCCGUUUGCUUGAACUCUUGGUUUUGGAAGUCGAUGUAGAAUUGAAUGGUAAAAGGAGCUUCAAACCGGUCUUGGUUGAUCUCAAAUCCACGGCUAGUUCCUUCCAACCACUGAUACAAGAGAUAUCACAGCUUAACAACAUACUGCAUCUAUCAAAGGAGGAACUGGAAAAUCUGAGGGAACAAUUGCAGAAAGGUAUCGAGCUUGUUGACAAGUGCUCGAAGGUACCUCGAGGGGAGAGCUACAAAAGGUAUGAAUACUUCGAAAGACUUCUGGAGUUGGAUGAUUAUCUUCGAGGAUUGUUAUGUAUGAUGAGGGAGCAGGUAGCCAAGGAUAUGAAGGAGACUUUGCUUUCUGUAUGCAACUUGGAAAUGAUGCUCACUCGAAUUGAAGAGCUACAUCUGGCACAAAAUCAAAUUGAUCAACACCCUGCAUUGUGAAAGCUGUUUAUUUUUUCCUUUUCCAUUUUUUGGUUAGUUUUAGAACAGCGGUUGCGUAAAUAUGCUCAGAAUUAAUUAUUAAGAAAUUCAAUGUGCCUCCUGCAAUUUACGACUAUCAUACAGUCAUGAUCACUACUCAUUAUUAAUAGACUGAGGUGGAAGCCUGGAAGGUGACUCAAUCUUAUAAUUGAAAUUGUCUAUAGUAGAUGUACCCCUUCUUGGAGACUACAGAAGAUUAUUCAUAAUAUCAAAGCUCUCUUGGUUCAUUUUGAAUCAAUCUCUUUUAAACAUGUGUUCUGGGAAGCUAACUUAGUAGCUAAUCUAGGCAACUCUUGUAAUAGUGAUCGAUCUUAGACCAACAAGGUCCCAAUGGAGGCUACUAAUGGCAUCCUUUUCGAAAAUGUAAACUGUGGAUGUCCUAAAGGCUUCACUAUCUAUUCUACAUACACAAAUACAUACACAAAGGGCGAAUGUGUAUUCCAUUGAGUUCGAUAUUUCGUAAUUGUCUGUUGUGUCAUAUUUUAGGCGAAUUAUAUUUUCCUUAGCAAAAAUAAAGAUUCUACACCUCAAUAUAUAUAUUUACGCUUAUGUUAUGUUUGCUUAAAUAUUUCCGUAAGUAAACUGUCUUGCGUUUCUCUUUGGUUUAAGUUAUAGAGACUCACUGCACUGUGACGUGCCUAAACUAAAGAGGUGCAGUUUAGGGCAUUACACGGUGGUUGGUCGUCUCGUGUAGUGGUUUUGAGAGAUCUUCUCAACAGCGGAGUGGUUCUAAGAUUGGGUUUUGUUCACGCCUCAGCAGCAAUGGCAAGGCAUGGUGCUCACUAGCGAAUUUUCAUUGGGGAAGGAGGUGGCCAUGGCCCUUAAAUAUUUUCAAAAAUCAUGAUGUGUGCAUAUAUAAUUGUCUAUGGGUUUAAUGAGCUUGAGAGAAAAUCCAUGUAUUGGCCCCCUCAAACACAGUUUCGUAGUUCCGCCGUUGGCGGUGCUCGAGUGAAAUCGCGGCUGGCCGGCUGCAUCUACAUCUAGUCAACUCUAGAUUGUUAAGCAUAUUUGAGGUUUCUUUGUGGCGGCAGAGUCAUGGUUCUCGUGUUUGGAAGGCCAUUGGAUAAAACUGGCGGUCAAGGCUCCACCGAAAAGUUGACCACAUGGUCAGUUUUUUUUGGAAGGGGGUUUAUGCGGGCUUUAUUGUUCGGUGCUUAUAGUGUCAUGGUAGAGCGGUCAAACAUGUCCAGGCAAAGCGACGAAGCCGAUUGUGGCGUGGGUGUGAAAAAGUAUGGUCAAGCAAAGGAGUGAAACUUUUUAUUUGAAGAGAAAAAAGAUAAUUUCAUUACUUAUCCAUAACCAGACGACACUUACAUCAAUGCUUGGUUUACAUCAGAAUGCUCGAACAGUAAGCAAAUCGAAACUAUUUGAAGGGUACGCUCCUUAGAAACGAGUUUAACUCAAUUAUUGAGUGUACAUACAAAUGACCUCAACUCACUCGUAUCAAAUUUCAUAGCAAAGAAGUGGUUGCAACGGGAUGGUGGGGUAGGGACUUCAAAAAACAUGUAUGUGUGUGUGUAUAUAUAUAUAUAUAUACACAUACAUGGCUCUUCCAAUGAGGGAUCCAUUUUUUUGUUCAUUUCUAGGGAUAGGGUAUUUGACAAACUUCCCGUUCACUAAAUCACAUCUCUACCGUUCAGUUUGUAGGUGUAUAUGAGUAGAUCACUUCUGCAAAUUUUCAGAAAAUUUGGUGAUCGUUAAGUCAUCCAAAUGUUUGAUUUAAUUUUAAUGAUCUUGAACGGUGUAUGUUUGACAUAAAUGUUAAGUUUUUUCUUUUAAUCUCAGCCAUUUAAGCCCACUAAAAAACAAGAUCUAAUGGUGUGGGUCUAUCCCUAAAAAUAGACAAAAAAUAAGGGAUCCCUCAUUGGAAGAGUCUUGUGCGUGUGUGUGUGUGUAUAUAUAUAUACAAAGAUUAUCAGGUGCGAAAUCACAUCUCUACCGUUCAGUUUGUAGGUGUAUAUGAGUAAAUCACUUCUGCAAAUUUUCAGAAAAUUUGGUGAUCAUUAAGUCAUCCAAAUGUUUGAUUUAAUUUUAAUGAUCUUGAACGGUGUAUGUUUGACAUAAAUGUUAAGUUUUUUUGUUUUAAUCUCAGCCAUUUAAGCCCACUAAAAAACAUAUCGAAUGGUGUGGGCCUAUCCCUAAAAAUGACAAAAAAUAGGGAUCCCUUAUUGGAAGGGUCUUGUGUGUGUGUGUGUGUGUGUGUAUAUAUAUAUAUAUAUAUAUAUCAAGUUUGGUCGGGUUUCAAAAUCAAUAAUAUUAAGUCAACAGAAUUUUCUUCAAUGUAAGUUCAUGGAACCUAUGGUUAUGGUCCUUAGAGUAAAUGCAGCAAUGGUGCAAUUUAGGGGUUGGAUCGAAUAUCGGAUCGAAAAACACCAUCCACCAGUGAAGAAUUAGUUAGACGUGGGUCUCAUGUGAAGCCCACCUAACCCGACCAAUGCAUGGGGUAAUUCUCAACCCAUAGAUUACUCCGGACCAAUAUAACUGUGGGGUCCAUACACACCAUUUUGCACAUGGUGUUUGUUUAUCAAUAUAAAAAUAUUCUUUCCACAAUGUACAUAACAAUUAGUCUUUAGAUUGAUUUAAGGGCCAAUUAUAUAUAAGUCCACUUUGAGACAUUUUUUCCCACAUAAGUCCACUCCAACAUUUUUACCCAUAUAAGUCCACCCAAGCCUAAAUAAAGUUUUGGUUUAGGUAUUGAAGUUCAACAUAAUUACAGACUGUCAUCCAACCAAAAAAUUAGAUUUUCUCUCUUAUAUUUACAAAAAUGCCACUAUUGUAAAAAGUCAACAACCAGUCUUCUCCCCGGAAAAGUACCCGGCAAACCUCUGGCGAGGUCUCCAACGAACUCCGGCUAACCUCUGGUGAUGUCUCCGGCCGAAUUCCGAUGAGGUUUUCGACGGUUACGAAAGCUACUACAGCCACCAACAAAAACUACUAUCCCUAGCUAGAAAAACUAUUACCACUGACUAGAAAAGUUACUACCAUUGACUACAAAAGCUAUUACCGCCAGUAAGAAAAACUACUAUCCCUAACUACAAAAGCUACUACCACCAACUAGAAAAGCUACUACCACCGACUACAAAAGCUACUACCGCCAGCAAGAAAAGCUACUACAGCCAGCAACAAAAGCUACUAUCCUAGCUAAAAAAGCUACUACCACCGACUACAAAAGCUACUACCGCAAGCUACAAAAGCUACUACUAACAACAAAAGUUACUAUCCCUAGCUACAAAAGCUACUACAACCAACAACAAAAACUACUAUGGAUCGAUGCGAGGAGAGAGACAGGCUCUGGGGAUCUGAAAGGCAUCGUCGUUAUCGUCGACAGAAUCAAAGAUGCAAUUGAGCUCAAAGUUGUCAUCGUCGAGGCGUCGUCGAUUGAAAUUAAGACGCAGUGGAGGUCGAGCCGGACGAUUGUCGACAAUGGAUCAUCUGAGGGAGAGACCUCGGACGCAGACAGAUAUGCGAUCGCAUUUAAGAGCCAGUUUGGUGAUCGAUGAUCUUAAGGGAGAUGCAGUCGAGGCUGAGAUCGUCGUGUAGGCAUCGUCGAAGGUCGAUCUGGAAGUCAUUGUCAAGGCUAGGCGGCGACAUUGUAGUCGUCGUCAAAUAACCAAUCGAGGUCCUGCCGGAAUUCGUCUCAAUGCGGUAGUGGCGUUAGAAUCGAAGGAGAGAGAGAGAGAGAGAGAGAGAGAGAGAGAGAGAGAGAGAGAGAGAGAGAGAGAGAGAGAGAGAGAGAGAGAGAGAGAGANNNNNNNNNNNNNNNNNNNNGAGAGAGAGAGAUUUGCGUGAGAGGGAGGAUAGAGACGUUUUAGGAACCACAAGUCUCUUAUCUUUCAGAACAAGGAUAAAAUGGUCAUGAUGAAAUAAUGGGAGCAAGCAAAGUGGACUUAUGUGGGUAAAAAGAUUAAGGUGGACUCAUGAAGGAGAAAAUGUUGAGAAUGGACUUUUAUGAAAUUUUCUAUUGAUUUAAUUGUUGUAUUGUCGAGCCAAAAGCUAAAGACUGAUUUAGAUAAAUAUUCUAUAUUAAGGGAAACUACAAUUUAAUACCUAACCUAAUUUCAUCUUACAAAAAAGUCAUUUAAUUUGUUUCUUUAACAAUUUAGGACAAGAAUUUGCAUUCUAGUCCUUUUUAUCUUAUAUGUUCCUUUAUUUUUGCUAUUUCUCUUGUUUUACAUUCGGUAAUAAUUUUGACGGAGCAUGGUGGGCCUAUGAAUUUGUUUAUUUAUCAUAAUACAAGUAUAUAAAUCUAUCCUCUAUACUCAAAGGUAGACAGUUAAUUUUUCAUCAUUGGAGAAUAUAUUGUUACAAGAUUAGAAUAUUUAGCAGAAGCUAAACAAUCAUAUAAAGAACUGCAAGAAGAAAGAGAAAAAUUCAGAAAACUAAAAGAAAGAAGAGAUAAACUUCCAAGAAGUACCAAAAAUUACUGGGAUAUUAUUUUCCAGUUGCAACGAAGGAUAUACGAAUCAAGAGAAGAAAUUGAAGUCCUUCAAGAAACUUUUGAACAAGACCAAAAACCUCUUGAUAUUUUGAGUAUCGAUUAGAUCCGCCCUAGCUGGUAUAAGAACCUGCUUGGCUCAAAAGCAAGAAAGCAAAAGGCUUAUGCCACAAAGUUGGCUUCUCUUGACUAACAAGAGAGAAUCCAAACUUAAAAAUUAUCAGUCUUUUUGUACUACAAAAGGAACUGACAAGUGGGAAGUGUGCUUUCAUUUAAGGCACAUUCAAGAAAAUCAGUACUCCAUUGAGUACGUGUGUAGAGUAUUAAAUACGCUCUACGACGAACAUAUUCAUCUCCAAAGAGAGAUCGGAGUAGAAGAGCUUGAUCCAGCAAGACCAAGCUUAAUCGAGUUCCUAGAUCGUUUAUCUAGGGAUAAGACAUCUGAUAAGAUUGCAUAUCAACUCGAGAGAUUUAAUCUAAGGAUUAAUCAACUUGAGGAAAUAAAUUCAAAAAUUGCUCGGCUUGAAAUCAAGCUAGAUUAUCUCAAAGAAAAACAAUAUCUAAUAGAUAUUGAAAGAAAAUUAGUUCGCACUGAGAACCUUGCAAAUAACAUACAUCAACAAGCAAUGGAACUAAGAGAAACUCAGGAAAACCUGAAAAAGCUUUUAGAAACUCUCAUCUCCAGAAUAUGAUGAAUCAAAGAGUUGAUCUAAAAGUAAAAAAGGAAGAUGUUAAAACUAUUGGCUUUCAUCGUCCUAUAGAAAAAUUUGCUGAAAAUGUGGAAGCAAUAAUUCAUCAGCAGAAUUAUAGUAUCGCUUAUCUCCAGGAGAUAAGUAUUGACCUCGAAGUUCAAUUUUGAGAAUUACAUACAAGAUCUCUAUUCUACAAAAGUGUAGAAAAGAUGAAGGAAGGAGAAAUCUAUGAGAGGAUAAAUGAAGAAGCACUAGCUCAAAACGUGGCUAGUAAAAUCAUUAUACCUCCCCCAUCCUCACCAACGGGAGAAGGAAGACUAAGGUUUAGUGAACCAAAGCUUCUGGAAUGGAAAGCGGCAAAAGCAUCAAAAUCUACAACUAAGAGAGAUAUGAAAAUGCUGAGUAGAAUCCUCAAUAAAAGGAACACAGUUCCGGUACAGUUAAUAAACGCUCAAGAAUUUGAGUAUAAUGAAAUUGAAUCUAGUGUGCGAGAAGCAUCUGCGCCUAGAUUUAAAUUCAACAAGAUCUAUAAGAAAGGAUAUUUCAUUAUGGAUUCUCACAGAUUCAAGAUUCUUGAAUUAACUGUUCCAGCUAUAGGUGGAGAAACAGAUAUCAGAUUGAUAACUCCAAAAGAAGUAAAUGAAGCUUUCCAGAAAAAAUAUUCGUAUAUGCAUAUUAGAGCAGUCCAAGUAGGAAUAAAACUCUUAGCUAGAGAUGGUAUAGAUUAUUCUGUUCUAUGUGUCCUACAAGACGAUAGAAUAACAGACUUUAAGAAAAGUCUGAUAGGCGCAAAAGCACCUACAAAGAUACCCUAUUAUCAAAUCAAUUAUAUCAAUGUAGUAAACGGCAAAUAGGGGUCAUUACCCGCAGAGGAUUGGUGAUACUAAGACUUAAACACACAAGAAACACAAACAGACGCGUAAACCAGAAAUCUGGCAGACUCGACCUAGGAGCAGAAAACUAAUUAAUUAGCUAAUCUAGACUCAACCAAAAAUUAUGAAAUUAAAUACACAGUAACUAGACACAGUGGCGGACUACCACACAAAUUUUGAGGGUAUUCGGAGUUGGUUUGAUUGAUGAACAAAAAUAGAUAAAACAGAAGUACUGCUGAAAACAGAAUAUUAAAAAGUGAAUAUGGAUGUAAAUAUGAGAGAAACAAUAGCUAGGAACUUCUCUCCACCACUAGAUACGCUUCAAUCACCCCAAAACAAUGUNNNNNNNNNNNNNNNNNNNNCUAAGGAGUUUAGUUACACAUAAUCUUGAUUAAGAACAUCAGAGAAUACAUGGAAGAUGAAAUAAGGGUGAGAAGAAGAAAACUUGAUUGAAGAAGAUCUUUGCCGAUUGAGUUCUUUUUCCUCUCCUUUCUUUCUUCUCCUUCUCUCUCUUUUUCUUCUCUUUCUUUCUUCCCUUUCUUUCUUCUCUUUCUCUCUCUGGUUCGGCCUCCCUCUUUUUCUUCCCUUCCUUUCUUUUUCUUCUCUUGUUUGGCUGCCCCCUUGUAUAAAUAGGUUAGUUAACCUAUAUCUCACGUCCAUCACCAAUCCAACUAGGAUUAGGGAUCCUAAUUAAGCCCAAUUAUCUUCUUUUCUUUGUUUGACUUCAAAACACCUAAAAACAAAUAAAGUUAAUUAAAAAUAGGAAAACAUCACAAAAUAAAUAAGUAAUAAGAAUAAUUAGCAUGAUAAAAGUCGCACAAAUAUGCGACUAUCAAAGUCUGUUAGGAACAGUAGAAGCUUCCUUGUGCAACCAAGUUGCAUAUUUCAAUGUUUUCCCAAAUUUCACAACACAUCUCAGAGAUGCGGGUCACUGUCUAAGAUUGAGAAUCAAGACAGAUGGGAUUUCUAUGAAAAAGGGAAUGAUGGAACUUGCGAUAGAUUAUCGAAUCUAUUAUAAGUUGAUGAGUUCAAAUGUAACCCAUAAUACCAGGUUUCUAAAUAGCCCUGGGAUUACUACAUCUGUGCUCACCAACCCAAAAAAUAAUGCUCAACAAAUACAUGUCACAAAAUGGCAUGAAGUAAUAUUCCCAAGAGAAUGGAACUUGACCCCUCCUGUCAGACAGCUUGAAAGCUCCAAUGCUUCAAUUUAUGAAGACAUGGGAGGUAAGAUAAGCUUACAAUUUCAUAGGCAUUCAUUUGCUAAUUAUGAAGAAGCUAGUUCCUCUAGAACUAAAUCAAUCUUUCAUGAAGAAUCCUUUGAAGAAGAAGACACCAAAAGACCUAUGAAAAUGCUUAAAGCAGGAGAUUUAAAAGGAUUAUAUGCACAAGCUGAGACUAGUGAAUCCGUAGAAGAAUUAGAGAAAAUCAUGAAUGAAAUUUCUCAAAUUCAACUUAGAAAAGAUAAGAGGAAGAUUCUUCCUUAUCAAGCAGCAAAAGAUGAGCCUCCUAGUUCAUCCUCUAUAGAUACAGGAGAUGGGGAAAGACAAGUCCCUCCAGAUGGUGGUCAUACCAUAAUACAGAACAUUACAAACAACCCAACUAAGAUCAUUCGAGAAAAGAAUAUCAAAGUCCCAAAAGGGCAGGCUCCUACAUGAAGGAGUGGAGAACGAAGUUCUCAGAAGUAUAUCCCUACAGAACCCAAAUGGGGACAGUCAAUGUCCGAAAGAGAGGUUUAUCUGGAUUUAGACCAUGUAUGAGAUAAAAGAAAGACAAUAGACAACUGGGUAGCUAGUUUAAAGCUAACUCAGGCGCUAGUGUUAUCAAAGUUUGCCUAUGAAGAUGCUCAUGCAUAUUAUGAAUCAACCCUAACUGGAAUCGUCCAUAAGUGGUACCAGUCAUUCAAAAGAAGUUCUCAAUGGACUGAUUGGGCAAGCAAGUUAGAUCAGACUAAUAAUCCUUUAGACUUUGCAGUGCCAAUCUAUGCACAAUUCUGUGGAGAUAUCACUGGGCAUAGUGAACAGUAUAAAGAAAGAGCUAAAGCAAAUAUUCAUAAACUGAGUAUUUGUAACAUGAGAUAUUUUGAAGAAUACACCAAUGAGUUCCAGAACUACUUCUGCACUAUUGGAGAUAUUGAGAAUGAUGAUCUCAUCAGAACAUAUUACAGAAAGUUGCCAGAGCCCUGGAAUGAUGCAUUAGCUCAAUCAUUGGAAGAAAACCCCAUACAGUAUUUUACUGUAGGAGGAAUUGCAGAAAGAGUUAGGGAUCUCCUAAGAAAGCAAUGCACAGAGAACAGAAAGUCCAAGACGGCCAAGAAGCAACUCAGAGGAGUUGAGAAUAUGUGUCCAAAGAUAUUGGAUACUCCAACACAAUGGGGAUGUCAUAUCCCUACAGAAAGAAGGCACAGAAAAAAGUUCGCUGGAACCAAGCAUGAUAAAAAAUUUGCUUCUAAAAAGAAAGUAUAGGUUCAGGAAAAGGCCUGAAUAUAAGAAAGAACAAUCUUCUCAAACUUCUCCUAGAAAGAGAUUUUUCAAAAGAAAAAAGAAAACCAAUUCUUCUUCUAGAGAAGUAAAGAAAUGCAGAUGUUGGUUUUGCAAAGCAGAAGGACAUUACGCAAAUGAGUGUCCUAAAAAGGACAAAAGAACUUCAACGGCCUUAAUUGCUGAAUACAAUGAAGCAAUAGAGUAUGCUAAUCUAAAAGGCUUCGAAGUUGCAUAUUCUGAUGAAGAGAAUGAAUCAAUAUAUUCUCUUGAGUACCCAUCAGAAAAUGAGACUAAAAGUACCUCAGAAAGUUCUGAAGAAGAAGAAUAAGAAGAUGUAAGAUAUCGUCCUAUAUUUUUAUUACAGAUACAAAAUUGGAAAGAGGAAAACACUGAUAUUAUCAGUACUUUCCAUCCCAACCCGGGAAAAUUCAACUGUGAUUAUUGCAAAUGCGAUGAUAAUAAUGCAAUUCCCAUAUACUGUGAAAGUACAGGAGACACUUACCAUCGAGAAUGUUUUAUUGCAGAACUUAGAAGAAAAACCAGAGAUAAUGAAGCACAUAUCCUGGUCGAAGAGGAAUAUAAUGUAUUCCAUAAAAAAGAAAAAGAAAAGAACCUUGAAGAGGAUAUAAAAACGAUGAAGUUUGUAACUUCAUUAAGUUAGAACAGGGAAAUCAAGGAAUCUCUUGAUUCUCUCAAUUCCAGUUCCAAUUCGAUACUGGGUCUAGCAAAUGACAAUCCUCUGGAAUCAAUAACUACAGAAAGAAGGGUCAAUCCUUUCACAUAAUUACUUGAUGAUCCAAGAAAACAAGCAAGAAUAAUGCCAGUCCAGACGAGCAUAUAUAGUAAUUAUAUUACUAUAGGACUGAAAUUUCCCAAUUACAAGAAAUAUCAUCUACAUGCAUUUGUAGACACUGGUUCAGGGUUUAGUCUUGCUAAAAGAUAUGCUAUCCCUGAAGAAUAUUGGGAAAAAUCUUCAAGAACAGUCACUGGAGUUGUAAUGGAAGAGAAUAACAUAGUCAUGGAUACUAUGACACGAAAUGUGCAAGUUUCUUUGGGCAGAGGAACUUUUAUCAUCAAGAUUCUCUAGCAAUGUGAAGGUCAGACAGUUGAUUUGUUGAUAGGAAAUAACUUUCUUCUUCAACAAACAGUAAUUCAAACUCCAAAAAUGAUUGGGUUUGAAAAAAUAAAAAAUAUUAUUGGGAAUCCCGAUUAACAGACGCAGUACGCGUUACUAGUCAAGGAUUUACAGACCAAUAUCAGAAGUCGCCAGCGAAGAGUGGUGAUUAUAAGCCAAUUUUAAAACCCGUUUUGUUGUUACAAGAGCAGCUUAAAGGUCACAAAGAAAUAUUGGUGAAUGAAGAAACAAGUUCAUAAGACUUUGAUUCAGAGGAAAAUUCUGAAUAUCAAAUUUCUGACAAUGAGAGUUCUGAUGGAGAAGAAGAAUACAUCAGAGAGCAUAACUUAAAGAUAUAUGCCAACAAGAUAGAGCAAAAGAAAAUACCAACUCUCAUAGAAAUAGAAAAUAUGCUGAAACCAGUAAUCAGUGAAGAUCCUCAGUUGUAUUGGGAAAGAGACCCAAUAUAUUGUCAGCUAAAAAUGCAUGAUGCAAAUACUAUUUGCCAUGUUAAGGCCAUCCCUCAUUACAGAGAAGAAGAUAGGAAAGAAAUGGAAAAUCAAAUCCAAGAACUUCUGGAAAAGAAGUUAAUCAGGCCUUCAAACAAUCCUCAUCAUGCCCCAGCAUUCUUGGUAAGAAAUCAUGCAGAACAAUUAAGAGGAAAAGCCCGAAUGGUGAUAGAUUACAGAGAUGUGAAUAAAAAGACCGUUAAAGACGGUUAUCAAAUUGCUCAGGUGAGAGUUCUCAUCAACAGGCUUAAAGGAGCAAGAAUCUUCUCUAAGUUUGAUGCAAAAUCAGGCUUUUGGCAGGUUAGAAUGCAUCCUGAUUAAAUUGCUUUGACAGCCUUUGGAACUCCUCAAGGGCAUUAUGAAUGGUUAGUUAUGCCAUUUGGUCUUAAGCAAGCCCCGUCUAUUUUCCAAAGGAAAAUGGAUAAUAUCUUCAAACCAUACUCAGAUUUUUGCAUAGUUUACAUAGAUGACAUUCUUGUCUUCUCCAAAACUAUGAAUGAGCAUUUAAAGAUCUUGAACAGGUGUGUAAGCUUAUUGUCCAGAAGGGAAUUAUCCUCGGACAAAAGAAGAUUCAUCUCAUUAAAGGAGAAAUUGAUUUUUUAGGCAUUCAUGUUAAGGAUUGAGAGAUUCAUCUCCAAGAACACAUAGUUAAGAAAAUAAGCCAAUUUCCUGACAAUAUCCCUGAUGCAAAAUCUUUGCAAAGAUUUUUGAGAGUUGUUAAUUUUGCAAGAGAUUUUAUUCCUCAAGUCAGUGGUCUCACUGCACUUCUCUCUCCAAAAACAAGCUCUAAAAAGAAAUGGUCUUUCACAGAAGAUGACAGUAAUACUGUCAGAAAGAUUAAAGAAUUAACAAAAAACCUUCCUCCUUUACAGCUACCUGAAGAAGGAGAUUUGAUCAUUUUGCAAACUUAUGCAAAUGAUUAUUACUGGGCAGGAGUUGUUUUAGCUGUUGCUCCAUAUACAAAUCAAGAAAAGAUUUGUAAAUUUCUUUCAGGAAAAUUUAACGCAGCAGAGUUAAACUAUUCUAUUGGAGACAAAGAAGUCCUUGCUUUAAUUAAAAGCAUUAAAGGUGCCGAAUCAUUCUUAGGAAACAAAUUUGUAGUAAGAACUGAUAACAAAAGAGUUAAAAAUUUCAAAAACUACAAAUUAACUGAUGCUGCUGAUAGAGGAAGAGUUCUGAGAUGGCAAAUGUUUUUAACUCAAUAUCAAUAUGAUGUUGAAAUGGUUGCAGGUGACAAGAACUAUUUGUCUGACGCUCUUACAAGAGAAAUGGCGAGUUUUGAAAGAGAAGGUCGUAAUCCUAGAAGCCGAAAACCGGUAUCAGAGGAGAAGCUUUGGGAAAGAUAUAAAAGCGGUGAUAAAACCGUAGGACCUGACACGACCCACCCCGAAUUUCACCCUGAAACCCGGAGUAAGUCGUGCGGGGACCACCUCCAAAGAAAGUUUACCGAAAAAUCGACAUAACCUCCCUUGAAAAUGGACAACCCUUCCUAAUAAAUACCUGCAAACACUUCUGAAAAAUCCAAAUCCAACCUUAAACUCCUGGAGCCUUCGUGCUCCCCAAAUCACAACAUCUCCCAAUUUAAUUACUAACUUAAACAAGAAAAUCUCAUAGCCAACAGCCACAGUUCAGAGCAACUCUAUUUGAAAGGAAAUGGACUAGAAAUAUAAAAAUGAGCGGAAGCUACACUAUUGACUAUGCCUUUUCUCCAAAUACGUCCGACCUUAACUAUGCAAUCCUGCAAACUGGGCAUUUUUAAAACGAAGAGCCCAGGGGAAAACAUUUGAAAACGAAACGUUAGAGUGAGGGGACAAAAAUAAAUUAACGAAUAAAAUAUUUAUGUUUCCCCAAAUCAAUUUCCAAAGAAAAAAAUCGAAUGCAUGCUGCAAGCGAUAAAACUUUUAUCUCAUAAAUGUAGAGCCUCUUAGGCUCUAUAAUAUAUGUAUGUAUUUACACACGUCCAUACUCCCUAUAUAAAUUCAUGGGUCUAUAUAGGGCUACUACGCUCGCGUCCAACGCUCACGUCACGCCUUAAUGCGGUGCUACACUACGCCAUUAAGGUGGACAGACGGGUGUAUAAAUAUGUGCCCAUACCCCUUAUAUGAAUUAAACACUCAUAUAGGGCUACUACGCUCACGUCCAACGCUCACGUCACACCAUAAUGCGGCUAUAUGCUACNNNNNNNNNNNNNNNNNNNNCAGCGGCGGCCGGAGGCCAAAUCCGGCGACCUCCAAAACCUAUGAAAUUUUGACAGAACGAUCACCUCAUCAUGCUCUACAACUUUCAUGACCAGCACAACACCCAAUUCCAAGCCUAACUAGGCUAAUCGAACGAAAACAACUCAAAAAGCCCUAGAGCUUCCACUCACCGGUUCUCCUUACCUAGACCACGAGAGGGCGAGCUCUUUGGAGGGGUUGCUGCACGGGAGGAGAGCUUUCUUUUGAGCCAAGAAUCGCCGGCUUUGGCGGCCGGAGGAGGGAGCUCCGGCGAUGGAGAGCUACGGCAGUCGGACCCGUUCGAGCUAGAUUCCACUCGAUCGGCGGCGCUAGGGGGGCUGUCACCGGUCCAGGAAGGUGGCUGGGUUGAUGGCCUACCGAACGGGACCGGUGCGGCGGCGGUUGGUGGCCGGACGGCGGCGGGCAGCCAAGAAGAAACCGGCGGGGAGAGAGAGGCUCGGGUGCGGGAAACCGGGAGAGAGAGAGAGAGAGAAAAAGGGCUGGGCUUUGACCACCCGUUGGCCCGGUCCAACCUUCUUAUACCACCCAAAUCCAGAAAUAAAACACCCCGAAAAAAUAAUACCCGAAUAAAAAUUACCUUUUACUAGCUAAUAUUUACCAUUUUUACCGUUGUCAUAUUUUCUCCCACGAAUAACUCCCCGAAAUUAAUCGUCCCUCAAAACACCUCUAGGGACCGAUUAAACUAUUACCUCAAUGACGGAGACGGUAAAAUUCUUAUUAUAACCAAGCUAGUAAAUAAGGUAAAAAUUUAAGGGUCGGGAUGUGACAGGACCUCUCCAUGACGGACCAGGUUAUCAAUACAUCAUUUCAUAUGGAACUGCUGAGUCAAGCCAGUCUUCAGAAAGAAUCAAGCCAAGAAUAGAUCAAGGAUGGGAUGAGUUUUCAGACCAUUCUAAAAAAGAUACAGAUCAGUCUGUUACUUCUGAGGAAGAAAAGCUCGCACAAGAGUUCUUGCUGUGUCCGAAAGGAACAACCUCAAUUGAUCGGUCUCAGGGUAAAAGACCGGCUAGCCCGUCUCAAACGGCAGACGGUAAAGGCAUAUCAAGUCCGUUGAUAGCUGCUGCUUUGCCAAAAAGCAGAAAUGCCUCUUUUAAGGCAAUCAAAUCACCUCUUGUCACUGGAAAGAAAGUUAUUCAUGAUCAACCUCUGAAGAUCUUUCAGAGACCUGUUUUCAGGACAGAAAGGCUUCUACCAUUUAAGUAGAAGAUUAUUAUUGAUAAUAUUCUGUAUUCAUUUUAUGAAGAGAAUGAAGCUCAUUUGCUCCAAACACUUAAAGCUUUAACAGAAGAAUUGUAUGGAUUCCAUACAAAAGAUACAGGAAUACCAGCAGAAAAUCAAGCAGAAAAUUCUAAGGUUGUUUACCUUGAAAAUCCUAAAAGUGCUAAAAUUCCAAUACUAGCACUAAAAAAAUUUGAAUGGUAUAAGUUUCAUAAUCUCCUAGGAGAAGGCAAAGAUGUUCUUCCAAGAACAUUAUCAGUAAUCUCUGGCCCAUAUUAUGGGAGAUACUUAGUUGAUGUUCAAGCAGAACAUCCCCAGAAGCACAAGUUGUGGCUUGUAGAAAAUGGUUUUGUUCAUAACCUUUGGACAAAAACUAAUGAAGAUUUGAACGGAUUUCCAGCCAUAAUAACUGAAACUGUCAAGAACAUUAGGCCUGAUGGAUGUAUUUUGAGAUUAAAAUUUAUCUCUACUCCCCCAGAAUGGACGGUAGUAGAUGGACAAACAAAUUAUAUCUCUCCUUAUCAUUUUUUCAGGUUAAUCCAAAGACCAGUUCAGAAACCAGCCGUUGCAGGUGGCAAUGGUAGACCCAAUCAAAGCAUCCCAUGGAUGAAGGCUAUGGCAAUAGCUAUUAACAAAUAUGUGGUCUUAAGAGACUAUGAUUCCAGCCUUUUGGCAAGUGGAGAAAAAAUAAUGGUCACUUGCUAUAAUCACCCUCUACCAAAGAACUGUGACUUUUUCACAGCUCUUAUGAGAAAAGAAGUUGAUUACACUCUGGCUACCACCACAUGGCUACAAAAAGUUGAGAAAAAUGAAAAGUAUAAGGUUUCUUAUCCUUUUGAUUCAUGCCUGGAUGGUGAAGAAGAUGACAUUGCAUGUGAUUGGGAAAACAGUGCUCCCAACUCCUCAGCAGGAUAUGAUGAAGAUCCGGAAGAAUAUCACAACAUAGUAAAUAUGUUGGAUAAAUGAGCGGUUGCGGACGCAUCAGGACAAGCAACUUUUUCUUUUGUUAAAAGUUAGUGGCAGCUGACGCAUAAAGAAAAACGACUUUACUUUUCCAAAAGUAAAGUUAUCAAAAUAAGAUACCUCCUGUCCCCCACUACGUAUAAGAUAAGAUACCUCUUGUCCCCCACUACGUAUAAGUGUUUUUAAUUCCAGUUUAGAGUCCGCUCCCUAUAAAAGGAGCUUUAGGCGUCUUUGAGAAGGCAUGGAUCAGAAACUCAAGAUAGAAGUUCUCUCAACCUUUCUCAAGAAGUAAGAUAGCCAGAAAACAGUUGUCUAGUAUAGUGUGAGAAUAAUAGAGUGUUUAUUGUGUGGUGUGCUGUAAUCAUCUGGUAAGAAGUGUUGUAUAUACAAGUAAGUAUCUAUCUUGUAAUCAUGAGUAGCUAAACAGCCUUUAGCUGUUUACCUGAGAGCGAGGCUCUAGAUUGUAUAUUUGUUUUUAUGUUUGAAUAAAUGAAUUCUAGCUUGUGCCCUAUAAUCCGGCACAAAAAUAGCAAUAAUUAAGUUUGAUUGUUAGUAUGUUUUGUUUUUACUUUGCUAGUAAGUACUAAGAAGUUUUACUAGACUAAGGCAGCAGUGAUUCCGCUAAGUUAAGUAACCAGAAAGACAAGGUGUCGUUAGGUGAAAAAAUGGAAUAUUGAAGGCUAGUUCUUAGGACAGUAAUUCUUAGACUUAUUUGGUAAAAAAGUAAAGUAAAAAAAAAAAAAAAAAAAAAAGGACUAAACUGUACAAGUGAAAUUGUUGUUGAUUGAUUUGUUAAUUGAAAUUUUGUCAGGUAGUGUUUUGUAUUUCUCCCUAUUGUAUUAACUCGGAUUGAGAAUUUGUUCAACCCACCCUAAAAAAUAAAGUGCAUUUGCUUUUCUGGAGUAAGGGGAUGACGAGGAAGUAAUUUACACUUGCCAAUCAUUGAUUGACACGUACUCCAGACAAACAAAGUACUCAGAGUAUCGAGUACAUUCCAAAACUCACCGUUUAUUCUCCUCCAUUCGUUUUAUUUCUUUUCAUAUUUAUUUUUCUUUUUGUACGUAGAAGUAAAUUUUCUCGGUGUACAUGAACAGAAAGAUGAAAUAAUUGAGUCAGGCAGCUUGACUUGUCAUAUGGUCACCGAACUGCAGCGCAUUAUCACUUUUGUACUCGGAAAAGAAAGGCUGCAGAAGUUAAUCAUCAAUUCAAGGAGGCUACAGGAGUACGGGAUCUCACAGUUCAGAUGGAUCGUCUUCAAAGCUAGCUGGUCUUAAGUCUCAACCAAGCAGCAGCAGCACUCGAGGUUGGUGAAGUUUAGAUUCGAAAAUAAUUACAUUAUAACUUGGUUUGGUUUGUUGUAAGUAUGGCUCUAAAUUUUGUUGGUGGUAUACCUUUUCAACUUCUGUAUGAUGGGGUUAAGCUGGGGAUUCGCAAAUCUAGGAAGUUUAGAAUCCAGCUCCAAAACCUUCAAAUAACGCUUGAUGGUUUACAACCUUACAUCAUCCAAGGGAUAGAAGAUAAUAAUGUUCGACUUAAUCUCCCAACCGAGAUAAUACAAAGCCUCAGAACAAAAAUGUUGGAGGGUAAAGAGCUGGUGGAUAUGGUGUUGAAGCUUAGCAUGUGGAACAUCCGCAUCUGGGGCAACUGCUAUAAUUGUUUAGGGCCUGAUUGGGCAGAACAACUAAGUGAGUUGGAUAGAUCUCUUAGAGUACUGAUAGCCCAACUAGAAAUGGAGGCAAAGAAAAACAUCACCGAUCUCGUAAGUUUGGAAAUUGCUAACAAGGACAAACUGUUAGAAGAUGAUUAAGAUCAUGCUUAUGUCUUAAUUGAAGGGUAGUGGCUUCCAGCUGUCAAGCAAGUUGUGGCUUCUCUCUGCUUAUGUGGCUUUUCCUUCAGAUAUUUUCUUUUUAUGCUGUAAUAGUUGUUAGUAUAAAUAGGUUUUUGGGUUGUAAUAAUUCUACUUGACAAUUCUGCAUUUUAUAAAAAAACACAGAGAAAGUUGCUUCAAGUUUUCUUCCUCUGCCUCUCGGUGUUCUUCAUUUUCAUAACUAGAUUUUGCUAGUGUGAUCAUGAAUGCCAUGUUAUCAAUGUUGAGAUAUAAAUCCCACAUCGGGACUAUGAGACAUUGCUUGUGGGUUUAUAAAGGUUUGGGCCACUCCAUCUAUUGCCAAUUGGUUUUGGAUGUGAACCCCAGAUUAUUUUAUCAUGGUUUCAGAGCGGGUUACCCACAUCCACGUGUGAAGCCUAAUGACUACACGCACUCCACGUCACCCAAAUGUUGUCUACGUGUUAAGCUUGAAGAUUCGCCAUACGUGCGGGGGCGUGUUGAGAUAUAAACCCCACAUUAGGAAUAUGAGACCUUGUAUGUGGGUUUAUAAGGGUUUGUGCCACUUCAUCUGUUGCCAAUUGGUUUGGCAAGCAAUAGGGAGAAUUGCUUACAGCCACUGACAGAAGAGAUAGCUAAAUACAACAGGAUAUUGCAUCUUCCAAAGGAAGAAGUGAAAAAUCUUAUUAAACAAUUAAAGAAUGGUGCGGAACUCGUUCGCAAAUGCUCCAAGAUUCGCAAGCGGGCCAAUUACAAAAAGAACGAGCACAUCACCAAAAUUCUGAGUUUGAACAACUCUCUUCAAAGGCUCAUCAUUCGACUCAAAGUGCAAGUGGAAAAGAGUGUGAAGGAGACUUCGGAUUCAGCAGACAAAAUAGAGGCGGUGAUCAAGAACAUUGAAGCUGGAGGUGUAGAACAAAUUGAUGAUCUUGGAGGUAAAGGUCACAGUCCAGUAGAACCUGGAUCACCUGCUGUUAUACGGGACGUACCACAAGUCAACAUGGAGGUUUCAAGGGAUGUGAUUAAGGAGGCAUUGGUGGAUUCAGCAAAGAUUCUUAUAGAUCAGAAGGGGGUGAAGUCCAAUGAACGGAGUGAUGUGGUACAAGAUCAAAUGGAAACUGCAGCUGGAUUAGAUGUACUGAGUUUGCAGGGAUCGACGGAUGUGGAGACAUUGUGUUCAACUCUUGUUGAUUCAGCAUUAAAGUGUGCAACAAAUAUAGACAAGAUGGCAGUCGACAAAAAUGAAGGAAGUGGUAGUCCAAUUGAAAUUGCAGUAGCUGCUGAAACUGAACCUCCUUCCCCUACAGUUCGGGAUGUGCCGAGGAAUGUUAAAAAGGUAACAGCUGAACCUCAUUGUUCAUCGCCAGCAGUUGGGAUGAGAUUGGGUUCGACAAACAGGACAAAGGUCAAACAACCCGAUAAGGAAGAGGUAAUUAUGUAGGGCAUGCAUUACAAUCAAUGUGAUUUUUUUUUCUCCAAAGCACCACGUAUGCAUUCUCA
rnacentral:lncRNA from 1 species